CAACGUCUGAAAGUGCAACUCAACACAGAAACUGGGCGCCUUGGCAGUGUCGGUAGGAGCCCAGCCCCUUCCUCCUGAGCGGCAGCUGGUGGCCUCAUCAGGAGGGUCAUUUGGAGCCAGCUCCCUGGGCACCUAGAUGGGACAUAGGAGCCUGCUUCCCUCCCACCACAGAGCAGGGGACAGGCCUGCUCCUACAAUUGUGGCCUUCACAAUUGUGAAUUCAAGAAACCCAGUUACAUAACAUGGCAUUUGUGACGGUCCAUUGUUCCGGCCAGCCCUCUCCGCUUUGUCCCCUCCUCUGUGCGCCAGACCCUGAAUGCACACCCAUGCAGGGACCACGCGGCACCCUGCAUUCUUCUUUCUCCCCUCGGCUGAAAUGGAUCUUUGCAUCUGCCAGUUAUUUACAAAUAUUCCAGCUUCCUCCUCCGCGGCAUGCCACCAUGUUUUCCAACUUGCUGAAAUGAGAGAGAUGCCAGCUUGUGCCCAGCUCCAAGAAGAGAUCCCCUUGCCGUUGUGUGUUAGGCUGGAGUUCUACCUGACAUAGUUCUGUCUUUUUUUUUUUUUUUUUCCUGGUGACAAACCCUUUUAAGAUACAGAUUUCCCUGAGAAAGCACAGUUGAAUAAAAAAAAAAAAAAAAUCAGGCCAUAUCCAUGUUGGCCCAGAUCACCUGUCUUCCAGAAAAAUUAACAAGGUGGGGUAAUACACACUCAAUCAGAACAUAAGCAUGUUUGCAGAUGUCUACCUCUGGCUCCUUGGCAAGACUUGAAAUGAAGAGAUGCCGAGAACGAGGCUAGAGUUAAGUCUGCCUUGUCAACCCCGGGGCUGCCGGCUCAACCGGUUUGAUGGAGCACACAGUCCUGUUAUUCACUGGAUCUCUGUGUGCAGCCCACCCCUGAGCUCGCGGCCUGGAUGACUGAGUGGAUGGCGGGCCCAGCACCUGCAGAGGCAUCCCCAGCUGAGCCCUGUGGCUCUUCUGGGCUCUAAGGAGCCUCUCCAGUUGGUUGCCCGCCCACUUGGUUUAGCAUCUGGCUCUGCAUUUCAGGAUCUGCUGUGGGAAUCACUCCCCAGGUUCACAGAUCAGGGGAUACGUGUUCAUCUGGCCCAGGACAAAAUGUGACCUGAGUUGCAAAACCUGAGAGCUGUGUUCAUGGGGAUGAUGUCUUAUCUCUUUCUUGCUGGAUGCACUCCCUCGUUCACCCACCCAGGCAAAGAUCCCGUGUACAGAUAACACUUAUCAAGCAAUCGGCGUGUGCUCGGCAGGGAAUCAAACGCUUUAUGAAUAUUAUACCAUUUAAUCCUCCCAACAACCCUAUGAUUAUCCCAAUUUUAUGGCUGAAACAGGAGACCUGGAGAGACUGAUUGAAAAACUCAAGGCCAAGCAACUACCAAGGGAAGAAGGUGAACUGGGAGUCAAGGAAGCCUAACGUCCAAGGGGGGAAAAUGACGUCCCAUCCGGUCUGUCCCUCGGGACACACACUUCAAUCACCUUUACGUUUACUUGUCAGAGCGACAAGUAACAUAAUACCCUUUGAUGUCACAGCCAGAAAAGUUGCAGUGAGAACCCUACAGUGUGAGGUGUACUGAGAUGCCUUCCUGGGUGGACCGGAUUAGUCUUCUGUUGCUGUACCAACCUUCCCCAAACGUAGCAGCUUAAAACAACACCUACUUUGUACUUGACAGUUCCCACCGGUCAGGAAUCCAAGAGAUCCUCAGUGGAUCUCCCAAGGCCAGAGUCAAGGUGUUGACCAGGUAGGGCUCGAUCCUGAGGCUCUGGGGAGGAAUCUGCUUCCAAAUUCACUCAGGUUAUGGCCAGGGUCCGGUUCCUCUCUGCGUAGGCUUGGCCUCCUUCCUGGCUGUCAGUAGGACCACUCCCAGCUUCCAGAAGCCCCUCUUGGGUCCUCAUCGCGUGGCCUCUUGCGUUUUCAAAGGCAGCCAUGGACAUUAAGUCCUCCCAGUGCUUUAAGUCUCCAUGACACACCUUCUGCCACCAGCCGCAGAAAACUCUUUGCUUUCAAAGGGCUCACAGGACGGGGUCAGGCCCCACUGGAUAAUCUCCGUAUGUUAAGGGCACUUGGGCCUCUAAGUACAUCUGCAAAAUCUCUUCACAGCAAUCUCCAGAUCAGCAUUCGAUUAAAGAAUCAGGGGCUGGGAACCCUGGAGGAGAACAUCUUUGGAGCUUUGCUCCCUGCACCGAGGAAACUGGGCAAAGGAGCAUGGGCAUCUGAGCUGUGGGUGGAGAGGAGCUGCAGAGGGCUCUGCAUCCGAUGGCCCUCUCCACGUCUGCUCCGCAGCAUCCUGCCCGCGCCGCCACCACGUGACCUGACAUCAACAGAUGGAUUUCUUGUCUAUCGGCCAAGCCUCCGUGUUCUCAUUUGUGACAAUGGCAGUGAAAUUACUCAAAGCCUCACAGACGUUUGAGAGGAUUAAAUGGAGGUAACGCCUGUAAAAAGUUUUACCCAGUAACUGCCCGUAAUAGAUGUUCAAUAAACACUGACGGUUAUCCUUCCUGACAUUAUCUAGGGCUAACUAUGUAAUUAGACGGAACAUUGUUUGCACUAAUAAACACAUGAGGAUAAAUAAAAGGAUGGUUCUAAGAGGAGGUGAUACUUAGGCUCCUCUUGGAAGACAGCUGAGAAAAGACCUUGGGCAUCUGUCUUCAGUCUCAGUUCAGAGGCUUGUUUCAUUGUUCUCUCUGAAGGCACAGUUCUCAGGGGGGCAGUGGGUCCCACCCGGGAAGUCCUCAGAGCAGCCAACUUACAGUAAUAAUAACGACAAUGACAACAGCUGAUACACUUGGGACUCGCCACGUGCCAAGUUCUCCACGACGCACCUGCCAUAGAUGGACUCCCUUUUCCUCACAAUUUGGUGAAACAGAUACUCUUUACCCCCCUUUUACAGAGAAGGAAACUGAGGCUGGAUGAGCUCUCACAGCUAGUGGGAGGCAGGUCGGCCCACACGCCCACGCUGCUCCAGCUUCAAGUAUUUCUCUCCCCAUUUUUUUCUCUUCAACUCUGAUUUAUCACUCGCUUCGCCUGAUCAUGCUCAGAUUCUCAUUUUUUAGGCACACAGCCCGCCACUGCCCGGAUGGCCAGCUCCCAUUUUCCACUUUCUUCCCCAUUUGCUUUGCUCUUGAAUUUAUGCAUCUUUUCAACUUUAAGGACCUUACAAACAGCCUUGAGACCAGCCUAAAAUGAACAUUCUAAUUUAGGACUCCGGGGUGGGGCCGGGGACUCCACACUUCUAACAAGAACCCAGGGAUGCUGGUCCGUGGACCAGAGUUUGAGUAGCCAGACUCCAGUGGCCCAGAGGUCCAUGAGGGCAGAGGUCAAGCCUGUUACUUCCACAGCCCUGGGGCCUGGUCGUCGGCAAGCAAGCCUAGCAGGCACUCCCCAAAUAAGAAGAGAGCGAAUGGAAGAAGGAACAAAUAAAUUCAUACCUUCCCUCUGGCUGGACCUUUGCUGCGGUCAAUUUUAGAUGACUGCCCGAUUCUGUCUGUGAAGUCAGAGAGGCCUUGCUGAGUUCACAUUUCCACAUGAUACUGGUGUGGCCUCAGACAAGUUACCAGCCCUGAGUAUCAACUUCCUCUGCUAUAAAAUGGCCACCGUAUCAUCGUGCCUUGCCCACAGUUGGCUUUAAACAAAUAAUAGAAAAGGAGAUGCUGCAAUUCCCACCUACGCCCGGAUCCAGCAGUAUCGCUGUUGAGACAGCACAGCCAUUGGACUUUCAUCAGCUGUGGGCACCUUGGCCCACUGGGUGGGGAGGUUCUUGUUACCUCCGGAGUCCAUUUUUACUGGAUCCACUCACCAUUCAAAGAUGGCAGUAGCAAGAAUGGGCCAGAGAGGGAUGUGGGGUGGGCAAGACUUGCAGUUGAAGGCUCUGGGUCUCACCUGGGAGGUGGGGGUUCGGCUGAGGUCAGUUACCUUGAGGGGGCAUCGAGGCAAAAGACGGAAGCCAAGCACACCAAUUUCAGUGAUGAGCUGCAGUGGCUGAAGGAGACUCCCCUUCCACUCACUUCUCUCCACUUUGUUCUCAACUUGCAAAUCUACCUGGAAUUUAUUCUGAGCAGCUGAUCGCUUUGGCGCAAACAACCCAGGUAAGAAAGGGGUAACACAUAGCAUGACACCUCCGAGACAGGUGCAAAUUCUUCAACCUUUUCCCCUUUGUUGUGUAUCCCUUCAAACGUUCCUGCAAUCCCUGUUCGGUAUCUUAAUUUCUCUUACUUUAAGAUCUCCCUUGAAAGCUUAUCUUUUUUUUUUUUUUUUUUUUUUUUUUUUUUUGUCAUUCCCUGAAUUUCCCAAAGAACAGGAGAAAAUGAGAAAAAGAAAAUUCCUUCCCCAGACAAAAGUCUAAAGUUUCCACCAACACAGAUGGUCUGACUUAAGGAAAGUUUUUACAGCCGUCUCCUUAAAAAAAAAAAAAAAAAAAAAAGUAUUUAAGUUUUCCCUAUAUGGAGGAAAAAUAAAGAGGAAAACAGCUCAAGACGUAGACUGAGAUAUCAAGUGAGAGGCCAUUCAAGCACAGGACAAUAUUGAAACGAUCAGGGUUGAUACGGUUUUAGGGGAGAACCCUGGAGCCGGAGAGUGUAAGUGACAGCCAGCUGGAAGUCCCCCAGUGUGACUUACACACACACCUCUAUUCACCCAAGAGCGAGCCCCCACUUAGAAACGACGGCAAAUGGCAGACGGAUCGGCAGUGACCUCCCCAACCGCAGCCCCCUCCGCUCGUCCUGGCCAUGAACAAGAUGUUCUGGUGGCUCUGGUUUGGGCUUAACUGAAGGGCCUCCACCUCUCGCUGCCUUGGCCUCCAUCUCUGGCAACCAAUGGACCUCUCCCCAUCCCCACUGCAUGCAUUCGAGCCUUUUCAGGACUCCUAACUAGUGGUUAUUCAGUCAUCAUUGAGGCAGGAAUCAGAUCCUUGCCUUAUAAUCAGAGCCAGCCACUUCUCAUGGGGCUCAGCAAGUUGAUUCAAUGCCAUAGGGAAAAUCUAUCAUUCUGGGGUUUGGUUUAGACCUCCGUCGUCUUGAUUUCGUUCUCCUUCCAUCUCAGGCCAUUACCCAAAACUCUUCGGGGCUCUGACGUAAAGCAGACCUCUGUCUGAACCCAGCAUCUAUCAGUAUCUGUCUGGAAAACCUUGGGCAAAUGUCCUGUGCUCUGUCAUCAUUUGUGUUAGGGGAAAAAAAAAAAAAAAAAAAAAAAA
rnacentral:lncRNA from 1 species